UACGGAGGGUGCGAGCGUUGUCCGGAAUCACUGGGCGUAAAGGGCGCGUAGGCGGCUUCGCUAGUCGGGCGUGAAAUGCCUGGGCUUAACCCGGGAAUUGCGUUCGAUACUUCGAGGCUAGAGUGUGGGAGAGGUUGGUGGAAUUCCCAGUGUAGAGGUGAAAUUCGUAGAUAUCAGGAGGAACACCGGUGGCGAAGGCGGCUACCUGGACAGAAACUGACGCUGAGGCGCGAAAGCUAGGGGAGCAAACAGG
rnacentral:rRNA from 1 species